GACGAACGCUGGCGGCGUGCUUAACACAUGCAAGUCGAACGGAAAGACCCUGCUUUUGUGGGGUGCUCGAGUGGCGAACGGGUGAGUAACACGUGAGUAACCUGCCCUUGACUUUGGGAUAACUUCAGGAAACUGGGGCUAAUACCGGAUAGGAGCUCCUGCUGCAUGGUGGGGGUUGGAAAGUUUCGGCGGUUGGGGAUGGACUCGCGGCUUAUCAGCUUGUUGGUGGGGUAGUGGCUUACCAAGGCUUUGACGGGUAGCCGGCCUGAGAGGGUGACCGGCCACAGUGGGACUGAGAUACGGCCCAGACUCCUACGGGAGGCAGCAGUGGGGAAUAUUGCACAAUGGGCGGAAGCCUGAUGCAGCAACGCCGCGUGCGGGAUGACGGCCUUCGGGUUGUAAACCGCUUUCGCCUGUGACGAAGCGUGAAUGACGGUAAUGGGUAAAGAAGCACCGGCUAACUACGUG
rnacentral:rRNA from 1 species